CAGCUUAGAGGAGAAAAGUGGAAAGUACGUGCUGGGGUACAGACUCUGAAGAUGAUCACUCAAAGCAAAGUUGAUUAUCCUCUCCAAUAACUGGCCACCUUCCAGGAAAUCUGUGAUAGAAUACUAUGCCAUUUUGGCUAAAACUGGUGUCCAUCACUACAGUGGCAAUAAUAUUGAAUUGGGCACACCAUGUGGAAAAUACACCUGCGUAUGCACACUGG
rnacentral:lncRNA from 1 species